UCAUUGGGUUUAAAGGGUCCGCAGGCGGCCUGUUAAGUCAGAGGUGAAAUCCUACAGCUCAACUGUAGAAUUGCCUUUGAUACUGAUAGGCUUGAGUUAUUGUGAAGUAGUUAGAAUGUGUAGUGUAGCGGUGAAAUGCAUAGAUAUUACACAGAAUACCGAUUGCGAAGGCAGAUUACUAACAAUAUACUGACACUGAGGGACGAAAGCGUGGGUAGCGAACAGGAUUAGAUACCCUGGUAGUCCACGCCGUAAACGAUGGUCACUAGCUGUUUGACUAACAUUGGUUAGUUGAGUGGCUAAGCGAAAGUGAUAAGUAACCCACCUGGGGAGUACGUUCGCAAGAAUGAAACUCAAAGGAAUUGACGGGGGCCCGCACAAGCGGUGGAGCAUGUGGAUUAAUUCGAUGAUACGCGAGGAACCUUACCAGGACUUAAAUGUAAGUUGCAUUAGCUAGAGAUAGCUAUUUCUUCGGACUACUUACAAGGUGCUGCAUGGUU
rnacentral:rRNA from 1 species